GACGAACGCUGGCGGCGUGCUUAACACAUGCAAGUCGAACGGAAAGGCCCUGCUUUUGUGGGGUGCUCGAGUGGCGAACGGGUGAGUAACACGUGAGUAACCUGCCCUUGACUUUGGGAUAACUUCAGGAAACUGGGGCUAAUACCGGAUAGGAGCUCCUGCUGCAUGGUGGGGGUUGGAAAGUUUCGGCGGUUGGGGAUGGACUCGCGGCUUAUCAGCUUGUUGGUGGGGUAGUGGCUUACCAAGGCUUUGACGGGUAGCCGGCCUGAGAGGGUGACCGGCGACAUUGGGACUGAGAGACGGCCCAGACUCCUACGGGAGGCAGCAGUGGGGAAUAUGGCACAAUGGGCGGAAGCCUGAUGCAGAAACGCCGCGUGCGGGAUGACGGCCUUCGGGUUGUAAACCGCUUUCGCCUGUGACGAAGCGUGAGUGACGGUAAUGGGUAAAGAAGCACCGGCUAACUACGUG
rnacentral:rRNA from 1 species